GCAAGACGGGUAGUGCUUGCUUCUUUGCCGGCGAGCGGCGGACGGGUGAGUAAUGCCUAGGGAUCUGCCCAGUCGAGGGGGAUAACAGUUGGAAACGACUGCUAAUACCGCAUACGCCCUACGGGGGAAAGGAGGGGACCUUCGGGCCUUCCGCGAUUGGAUGAACCUAGGUGGGAUUAGCUAGUUGGUGAGGUAAUGGCUCACCAAGGCGACGAUCCCUAGCUGUUCUGAGAGGAUGAUCAGCCACACUGGGACUGAGACACGGCCCAGACUCCUACGGGAGGCAGCAGUGGGGAAUAUUGCACAAUGGGGGAAACCCUGAUGCAGCCAUGCCGCGUGUGUGAAGAAGGCCUUCGGGUUGUAAAGCACUUUCAGUAGGGAGGAAAGGUAGCAGCUUAAUACGCUGUUGCUGUGACGUUACCUACAGAAGAAGGACCGGCUAACUCCGUGCCAGCAGCCGCGGUAAUACGGAGGGUCCGAGCGUUAAUCGGAAUUACUGGGCGUAAAGCGUGCGCAGGCGGUUUGUUAAGCGAGAUGUGAAAGCCCCGGGCUCAACCUGGGAAUUGCAUUUCGAACUGGCGAACUAGAGUCUUGUAGAGGGGGGUAGAAUUCCAGGUGUAGCGGUGAAAUGCGUAGAGAUCUGGAGGAAUACCGGUGGCGAAGGCGGCCCCCUGGACAAAGACUGACGCUCAGGCACGAAAGCGUGGGGAGCAAACAGGAUUAGAUACCCUGGUAGUCCACGCCGUAAACGAUGUCUACUCGGAGUUUGGUGUCUUGAACACUGGGCUCUCAAGCUAACGCAUUAAGUAGACCGCCUGGGGAGUACGGCCGCAAGGUUAAAACUCAAAUGAAUUGACGGGGGCCCGCACAAGCGGUGGAGCAUGUGGUUUAAUUCGAUGCAACGCGAAGAACCUACCUACUCUUGACAUCCACAGAAUUCGCUAGAGAUAGCUUAGUGCCUUCGGGAACUGUGAGACAGGUGCUGCAUGGCUGUCGUCAGCUCGUGUUGUGAAAUGUUGGGGUUAAGUCCCGCAACGAGCGCAACCCCUAUCCUUAUUUGCCAGCACGUAAUGGUGGGAACUCUAGGGAGACUGCCCGGUGAUAAACCGGAAGAAGGUGGGGACAA
rnacentral:rRNA from 1 species